AUUGAACGCUGGCGGCAGGCUUAACACAUGCAAGUCGAACGAUGAUUAUCUAGCUUGCUAGAUAUGAUUAGUGGCGGACGGGUGAGUAACAUUUAGGAAUCUGCCUAGUAGUGGGGGAUAGCUCGGGGAAACUCGAAUUAAUACCGCAUACGACCUACGGGUGAAAGGGGGCGCAAGCUCUUGCUAUUAGACGAGCCUAAAUCAGAUUAGCUAGUUGGUGGGGUAAAGGCCCACCAAGGCGACGAUCUGUAACUGGUCUGAGAGGAUGAUCAGUCACACCGGAACUGAGACACGGUCCGGACUCCUACGGGAGGCAGCAGUGGGGAAUAUUGGACAAUGGGGGCAACCCUGAUCCAGCCAUGCCGCGUGUGUGAAGAAGGCCUUUUGGUUGUAAAGCACUUUAAGCAGGGAGGAGAGGCUAAUGGUUAAUACCCAUUAGAUUGGACGUUACCUGCAGAAUAAGCACCGGCUAACUCUGUGCCAGCAGCCGCGGUAAUACAGAGGGUGCGAGCGUUAAUCGGAAUUACUGGGCGUAAAGCGAGUGUAGGUGGCUCAUUAAGUCACAUGUGAAAUCCCCGGGCUUAACCUGGGAACUGCAUGUGAUACUGGUGGUGCUAGAAUAUGUGAGAGGGAAGUAGAAUUCCAGGUGUAGCGGUGAAAUGCGUAGAGAUCUGGAGGAAUACCGAUGGCGAAGGCAGCUUCCUGGCAUAAUAUUGACACUGAGAUUCGAAAGCGUGGGUAGCAAACAGGAUUAGAUACCCUGGUAGUCCACGCCGUAAACGAUGUCUACUAGCCGUUGGGGUCCUUGAGACUUUAGUGGCGCAGUUAACGCGAUAAGUAGACCGCCUGGGGAGUACGGCCGCAAGGUUAAAACUCAAAUGAAUUGACGGGGGCCCGCACAAGCGGUGGAGCAUGUGGUUUAAUUCGAUGCAACGCGAAGAACCUUACCUGGUCUUGACAUAGUGAGAAUCCUGCAGAGAUGCGGGAGUGCCUUCGGGAAUUCACAUACAGGUGCUGCAUGGCUGUCGUCAGCUCGUGUCGUGAGAUGUUGGGUUAAGUCCCGCAACGAGCGCAACCCUUUUCCUUAUUUGCCAGCGGGUUAAGCCGGGAACUUUAAGGAUACUGCCAGUGACAAACUGGAGGAAGGCGGGGACGACGUCAAGUCAUCAUGGCCCUUACGACCAGGGCUACACACGUGCUACAAUGGUAGGUACAGAGGGUUGCUACACAGCGAUGUGAUGCUAAUCUCAAAAAGCCUAUCGUAGUCCGGAUUGGAGUCUGCAACUCGACUCCAUGAAGUCGGAAUCGCUAGUAAUCGCGGAUCAGAAUGCCGCGGUGAAUACGUUCCCGGGCCU
rnacentral:rRNA from 1 species